CUAGUUCUAAUAUGAAAAACACGUAAAAACUACUGAAAUAAUACGUCUGGUACCAACCAGAAUUAUUUUAACCAACUACAACUCUUCCAAUAUAAAAAUUAAAAUAAUACAUAUCAGCAGCCUCAGAUAUCGCGCGCGGGCGCGCGCUUCCCCUUUGUAAUCAUCGCGUGGGGGCGCGUCUUUAAAAUCUGGUAAGUUCGAG
rnacentral:lncRNA from 1 species